rnacentral:rRNA from 1 species
ACGGGGAGCUUGCUCCUGGGUGACGAGCGGCGGACGGGUGAGUAAUGUCUGGGAAACUGCCCGAUGGAGGGGGAUAACUACUGGAAACGGUGGCUAAUACCGCAUAACGUCUUCGGACCAAAGUGGGGGACCUUCGGGCCUCACACCAUCGGAUGUGCCCAGAUGGGAUUAGCUAGUAGGUGGGGUAAUGGCUCACCUAGGCGACGAUCCCUAGCUGGUCUGAGAGGAUGACCAGCCACACUGGAACUGAGACACGGUCCAGACUCCUACGGGAGGCAGCAGUGGGGAAUAUUGCACAAUGGGCGCAAGCCUGAUGCAGCCAUGCCGCGUGUGUGAAGAAGGCCUUCGGGUUGUAAAGCACUUUCAGCGAGGAGGAAGGGUUUAGUGUUAAUAGCACUGUUCAUUGACGUUACUCGCAGAAGAAGCACCGGCUAACUCCGUGCCAGCAGCCGCGGUAAUACGGAGGGUGCAAGCGUUAAUCGGAAUUACUGGGCGUAAAGCGCACGCAGGCGGUUUGUUAAGUCAGAUGUGAAAUCCCCGCGCUUAACGUGGGAACUGCAUUUGAAACUGGCAAGCUAGAGUCUUGUAGAGGGGGGUAGAAUUCCAGGUGUAGCGGUGAAAUGCGUAGAGAUCUGGAGGAAUACCGGUGGCGAAGGCGGCCCCCUGGACAAAGACUGACGCUCAGGUGCGAAAGCGUGGGGAGCAAACAGGAUU